CCUACGGGAGGCAGCAGUGGGGAAUAUUGGGCAAUGGGCGCAAGCCUGACCCAGCAACGCCGCGUGAAGGAAGAAGGCUUUCGGGUUGUAAACUUCUUUUCUGAGGGACGAAGAAAGUGACGGUACCUCAGGAAUAAGCCACGGCUAACUACGUGCCAGCAGCCGCGGUAAUACGUAGGUGGCAAGCGUUAUCCGGAUUUAUUGGGGGGAAAGGGCGUGUAGGCGGGAAAGCAAGUCAGAUGUGAAAACUCAGGGCUCAACCCUGAGCCUGCAUUUGAAACUGUUUUUCUUGAGUGCUGGAGGGGCCAACGGAAUUCCGGGUGUAGCGGUGAAAUGCGUAGAUAUACGGAGGAACACCAGUGGCGAAGGCGGAUUGGCGGACAGUAACUGACGGUGAGGCGCGAAAGCGUGGGGAGCAAACAGGAUUAGAUACCCGAGUAGUC
rnacentral:rRNA from 1 species